rnacentral:rRNA from 1 species
UACGGAGGGUGCUAGCGUUGUUCGGAAUCACUGGGCGUAAAGGGCGUGUAGGCGGUCUGUUAAGUCUGAUGUGAAAUCCCCUCGCUCAACGAGGGAACUGCGUCGGAUACUGGCAGACUCGAGUACCGGAGAGGAAGGUGGAAUUCCCGGUGUAGCGGUGAAAUGCGUAGAGAUGUGGAGGAACGCCUGUGGCGAAGGCGCCUUGCUGGCCGAUUUCUGACGCUGAGGCGCGAAAGCGUGGGGAGCAAACGGG